rnacentral:tRNA from 1 species
GGGCUAUGGCUUAGUGGUAGGGCAUCUGUUUUGCAUGCAGAAGGUCCUGGGUUCAAUCCCUGGCAUCUCUA